rnacentral:rRNA from 1 species
ACGUAGGGGGCAAGCGUUGUCCGGAAUUAUUGGGCGUAAAGCGCACGCAGGCGGUCGCGCGCGUUUCCGGUGCCAGCUCGUUGCUUAACGACGGGAGUGCCGGGAAGACGGUGUGACUUGAGGGCCUCAGAGGGACAUAGAAUUCCGGGUGGAGUGGUGAAAUGCGUAGAUAUCCGGAGGAAUACCAAAGGCGAAGGCAGUGUCCUGGGAGGUGACUGACGCUAAGGUGCGAAAGCCAGGGGAGCGAACGGGAUUAGAUACCCCGGUAGUCCUGGCCGUAAACGAUGACCAUUAGGCGUGUGGGGUAUCGACCCCCUGCGUGCCGAAGUUAACACAUGAAAUGGUCCGCCUGGGGAGUACGGUCGCAAGAUUA